AUGAUGGGCAAGCAAGGGAAGAGGUCAAGGUCAAUGAACACAGAAGAGAAAAUUUGUUUCUGGUGUGGACAGUCAGGACAUGUGAGGGCAUCUUGUCCUGAAUUGAUCCGAGAAGGUUGUGGAGAUGGACAUAACAGGUAUAACAGAGGACGUGGUCAUGGUUUCGGUAUGUGUGAUGGUGUUGCAAAAUCUUGGCAGAGAAAUGGGGAUUGGCUGUGUCCAAAUGCAAACUGUGGAAAUGUAAAUUUUGCUUUCCGCAGAAUCUGUAAUCUUUGUGGAGUUACACGACCAGCUGGUGAUAGUGGAACCACACAGCUUGUGAGUGUGAGGAUGACUGCAGGAGAUAUGGUGAAGUGGCAGUGGUUUAAAAAGAUGAGUUCAAGUGAAAACUCUUCAAAAGAAGCACCUGUUUCUGCUGUUUCUGCUGGUCCCUGGACUAAUACUUCUAAAGCGGUAAGUUGCGAUCGACCAUGGUUAAUUGAUUCUGGUGCAUCAAGACAUAUGGUGGGAUCCUAUGAGGACUUCUUAAAAUAUGCACCUAAUGUGAUGGGGCAGGAUGUGAAGUUGGCAGAUGGCUCUACCCAAGCUAUUAUGGGAUCAGGGACUGUCAUAUGUGGACCUAAUAUGUCUCUGUCCUCUGUUUUACAUGUUCCCUCAUUCCCAAUUAAUCUAUUAUCUAUCAGUUGUAUUACAAAGGAACUUAAUUGUGCUGUAGUUUUCUUCCCAACUUGGUGUUUGUUUCUGCAACUUGGGACUUGGAAAAUCCUUGGGACAGGAAUUAUGCGAGAUGGUCUAUACUACUUGGAUGAUGAUAUGACACCUAUGGCUGCUGCUGUGCUGUCUCGGUCACCAUUGGAAGAAUUUCUUCUUCAUCAUCGCAGGCUGGGACACAUGUCCUUUAACACCCUGGGCCUGGAUAACGAGACAGGGGGAGAUGACAGCAGAGAAGACAAUGAUGUAGCACCAGAGAAGAUGAUAGUUGGGGUUAUACCUAUUGAAGAUUGGCGAGACGAUGCAGUGCGAGAACAUGAACAGAGGGAACAACAAAGUGACUCUAAUGGAGCAUUGCAAUGGCCAAAACCGAAUGAGGAACGAGAAGUUCAAGUGUUUACACGGAGGAAUAGAUGA
rnacentral:rRNA from 1 species